rnacentral:rRNA from 1 species
AGCGAACGCUGGCGGCAGGCCUAACACAUGCAAGUCGAGCGCCCAGCAAUGGGAGCGGCAGACGGGAUAGUAACACGUGGGAACGUACCUUUCAGUUCGGAACAACCCAGGGAAACUUGGGCUAAUACCGAAUACGUCCGUAAGGAGAAAGAUUUAUCGCUGAAAGAUCGGCCCGCGUCUGAUUAGCUAGUUGGUGAGGUAACGGCUCACCAAGGCGACGAUCAGUAGCNGGUCUGAGAGGAUGAUCAGCCACAUUGGGACUGAGACACGGCCCAAACUCCUACGGGAGGCAGCAGUGGGAAUAUUGGACAAUGGGCGAAAGCCUGAUCCAGCCAUGCCGCGUGAGUGAUGAAGGCCCUAGGGUUGUAAAGCUCUUUUGUGCGGGAAGAUAAUGACGGUACCGCAAGAAUAACGCCCCGGCUAACUUCGUGCCA